GCUGCUAACUUUUUAGAUUUCAAAAUUUUCUGCAGAGACACCAGCCUGCCAAACAUUUCAGCAGUGCUACCUUUGGAUUUAAGACCCAACAGCUAAACUCUGUUUUAGUUUUGACCCUGUGUGUCAGUGACAUUUCAAUGUUAACCUAAUCAGAUGAAGGCUGUCCACAUUGUAACCUCAAUGUAGUGUAAAACGCCAUCAUAAAAUCACAACCCACUCUUUGUACCACAGCAUAGCUGAAUGUCAGCAGACAGGGCCACCCGGUGUGAAUGGGCAGAUCAUAAAGUAUGGCAAUUAGCAACUACAAACACCACCUUAAAAUUACACUACAAUCUAUGCAGGAAUGUCAUUCACAAAAAUUACAUUCAGCCAUCUUUGUAUUAAUAACAUAAAAAUAAUGGACAAACUCUAAAAAGAAGAAAAACUAAGGGUCUGUCCCAAUCCAUCAAUAAAUUUAGGACCCUCUGUUAUCCAGCGGCACUCCGGCUGGCAGCAUUCUGGCUGGCAGCAUUCCGGCUGUCCAAAACGCAUGCACAAAAGAAGUCAAAUGCAGCACACUGGUGUACGGAAGUAAACAUGGAGGCCACUAACGUCACACGCAGCAGGCUGGCUUACGCGAGUAACCAUGGAGACCGCAGUGCAUAAACUUAGCUUCACUACUUACAUUUCUACCCUUCACAAUAAAAGCCCAACUUAAAUUUGCUCAGAGCAUUUUGCUAAGAUGCAACUCAAUAAAAUAGCUCACCACGCUAACGACAAUUUUGCAAACACUAGUCAUCAAACAAAAAGCCAGACACUAUAUGAUAUUAAGUUGCUGUGAGCUGUAAAUGUACCACUUCUAAGCAGAAAAUAAUGUCAUCUCAGAGGCUGAUUGGGCAAGGCCUCUCUUACUCUGGGCAGCUUUCUCACCCUAGAUCCAGGUUCUGUAAGUGUACUAACUCAUAACACUUAACACAUGCGGCCAAAUUUCCUCUGCUUAUUAAAUCCAUACUUUAAUGUUACUUUUUAACCUUAUAAGCUUGUUUUGAGAUUAACAGCUCUGCUAAAGUGUUAAAUUUAUUAACGAUAAUGAUGAUGGGACAACACUGACUGUGGUGAUAUCAACAUGCAAUAUUGUUGAUGAAAAAACAAACUACUGUAGUUUAAAAAAUAACAAUUCAAUCUAUUAUCAUGCCUUUCACCUCUCUUUCUCCCUCUCAUAAGAACACACACACUCUGGCACCAGCUGUGUCCGUCUCUGUAUUCGGUCUUGUGGAUUAAUGCAUAUUUUUGCGGAUUGACUCUCAUUACAGGCAAGACUAUUUAAUAUUAUUAUUGAGAGGACUCGGAGCAACUGCAAAAAUCAUUUAACCAGGGGUUAAAGUGGGUUGGAAACCAUCGAAGAAACUUCCUCAGGCACGUUCAAUUAAGAAGUAAAUUAAUUUAAUUGGCAGUUCCAUACGUUAGAGUUUUAUUCUGCACUGUACAUGUACAUGGAUAGUUCACACGUUUGUAAUAACAGAAGAACAUUUGGAGUUCUUAGUACACAUGUCUAAUAACAGCAGGACAGUUGAAGUGCUUAUGUUAUCUAAACUACUACAGUCAGUUUUGAAGUGGGGAUAGCGUUGGUAUUCAUCUGUGUUUUUCAUCAGAUAAUAAGAUAUAUCAGAUCAAAAAAAGUUUCAAUAAAAAGACCAUAUUAUUAUGGUUUUGUUAAGGUAACUGAAAGGUUCAAUAUAAUUAUUUAUUGGAAUGAAUGAUUUGGGGACUACUCGCAAAUACAGCAGAUGUUGGUAUUGGGAUGGACCCUAAAAGUAUAAAGCCUGUGAGGCUGUAAUGCUCAUCACACAACAGAAAACUGUUGGAUGAAAGAAAAAGAAAAUGUCUGUUCAUUCAAGACUCUACUUCAGUGUAAACUGGUCUUUGUCUGCAUCAAGGGGUCAUUCUUUUUGCAUUUAGUUUGCUAGGAUUUUACAGUUUAGUCAUCCAGUAACAUGCUAACAUCAUAUGCUAAUUUAAGUCAGUAAGUCAGCAGGCAAGGUUGUGUUAAUCACUUUAAAUACCGAAUGAAGUUAUUUUCUCUAAAACAGAUGAUGCUGAGUCAUUAAUAAAUUUGUCAUGACAAAAAAUAUCUUUUUCCACAAGUAAUUCACAUUUCAAUCAUUUGAAACUUAAUCGAUAUUCAUGAAUAUCAAAAUACAUUUGAAAUGUCAGAAUGCUAAAAUUAGUAAGUAAGAAUAAACACUAGAAUGUUAACUUACCAAAGGUAGCAGCUUGAUGCAAACAAUAAAAAAUAGUUAACAUGCUCAAGUUAGCAUCUGAGUCAUAGUAGAGGCGUGAGCCAAGUGUGACAAGUGGACAUUUUUUUCUGUUGGUGGAAGAAGAUAGGUCAGGAUCACCAAAACCAAGUUGUUCUGGACCAUGUUGACUGACAUCUUUGUAUGGAUAACGUUUUUAAUGGUAAAACCACACCUGAAUAUCAACGACAAUAGAUGGACACAUUUUUAAAGCACAACAGUAUUUAAUAUAUGUUGUGUACCAUUUUUGUCAAAACUUCCUCCUGGGAGCCUUUCCCAAAAAAAA